GAUGAAGAACGUAGCGAAAUGCGAUAAGUAGUGUGAAUUGCAGAAUUCAGUGAAUCAUCGAAUCUUUGAACGCACAUUGCGCCCUUCGGUAUUCCGAGGGGCAUGCCUGUUCGAGCGUCAUUAUAACCCCUCAAGCUCAGCUUGGUGUUGGGGCCUGCCGCACGGGCAGCCCUUAAAAUCAGUGGCGGUGCCAUCUGGCUCUAAGCGUAGUAAUUCUUCUCGCUAUAGAGUCCCGGUGGAUGCUUGCCAUUAACCCCCAAUUUUCUAUGGUUGACCUCGGAUCAGGUAGGGAUACCCGCUGAACUUAAGCAUAUCAAUAAGCGGAGGA
rnacentral:misc_RNA from 1 species